rnacentral:rRNA from 1 species
AGCAGCCGCGGUAAUUCCAGCUCCAAUAGCGUAUAUUAAAGUUGUUGCAGUUAAAAAGCUCGUAGUUGAAUUUCGGGAUCAAAUUGUUGGUCGUGCCUCGGUACGCACUGGUAUUAUUGGUUCCUACCUUCUGAAGAACCGCGAUGUCAUUAAUUUGGUGUCGUGGGGAAUCAGGACUGUUACUUUGAAAAAAUUAGAGUGUUUAAAGCAGGCUUACGCUUGAAUACAUUAGCAUGGAAUAAUGAAAUAGGACGUUUGAUUCUAUUUUGUUGGUUUCUAGGAUUGACGUAAUGAUUAAUAGGGAUAGUUGGGGGCAUUAGUAUUCAAUUAUCAGAGGUGAAAUUCUUGGAUUUAUUGAAGACUAACUACUGCGAAAGCAUUUGCCAAGGAUGUUUUCAUUAAUCAAGAACGAAAGUUAGGGGAUCGAAGACGAUCAGAUAC